UCCGCCUCGAGCGUGUGCCGGGUAGGGGACACCCUCCACAGUUGGCAACCGUUGGCUGGUUGUGAACCGUUCAUAACGGGCGUUCGUAACCACGCCCUGUUAGACUGAACGUGGUCCACCCGCGAAGCCUCAGAUGGCCAAGUGCUGGAGUCCUGGCUGCGGCUUCUGAGCCAGGCCUUGGCAGGCAGCUGCUGACAUGCCAGAGCCCUAUGAAGUAUUGAAGGCACCUGGGGUUCAGGCCCCCUGGAAGCCCAGCCCUCCCUCACCCUUCGGGGACACUGGAACUGGCCAAAUGAGGAUGGCUGCUGGCCUUGGGCGAAGGAUCUUCCCACCACACAUCAGCCAGACCAUCUUCCUCCUCCCAAGUUAUCAGAGUUCCAAGCUGGUCACCUCUCUCUUGAUAUUCCCAGGAAAUCAGGAAAGGGGACUCCUGCAUUUUCUCUUUCCAUCCAGAGUGGCAGGAUCUCUGCUUGGGAAACAAGCUGCUGCAUUCAGCACAGCUGUGGUAGCAUUAACACAGCAAAGUGGGCACAUCUAGAAGUUGAAGCUAAAACAUUCAGGAACUCCAGUCUGUUUCUGUGGAUGUUAAGGGGGGUGAAGAUAUAACAAGGGAGGUAAUGAGGAGGAAUAACUUGAAGACGGUGUAAAGCCACAGUGGUACAAAGAAUGAAGUGGAGGAAGGUGCUGGAUUUUACUAAGAAGAAAACAGACUGAGUUCAGGAGUCUCACCAGAAGUUUAUAGUAUUGCAUUUUGAUUACAUGUGUGUGAAUUUUAAAAAUUAUUACUCUUCAGUAAGAAUGCAGAACCAACUUUCUUUAGAUUAAAACCUUAGGUUUGGGGAUAAAAGUUGACCCCAUGCUGCCUGAGAUGAAGAGAGAGAGCAGGUUGGCAGAGGAAUCACCAGCUCCAGGAACCCCAAGACUUGGACAGUCUUCCAGCAGAAGAGGCCAGGGUCUCUCAGUGUACUACCCCAACAGGCCUCUCCCAGAGAUGUAGUCUGGAGAGGCCCAAAACCCACCAGGUACAGGCAUAUCCACUGGGGAAAGACUUCCCAUUCCAGAAGUCCACCUCUGCUUCCUAGUAUUCUGCUGAUUUCAGAGCAGCAGGGUGGCCAUUGCUAAUCUGGGUUAGGGACAUGGCCAGAAACACACCCAAGUUUGAACCACAGGUUAAUGGUACAAAGUCAUAUAGUCAUUGUGCCUUCAGAAAACCCAGGGGCCCCAAAUCCAAGUGGGAAGAGAGUUGGGAAAAACUGAACCAGACUCUUCCAAUGGCCAUUAAAGAGAAAAUUCAGCAACCCUUGCCUUUGUCUUUGACCCUGAGAAGUUAAGGGACACAGAUUGUGGCGCUGUGAUGGGACAUGGAAAGUAUAGUGUGCUUCCUGCAGAGAUGCCUUUGGAGUCCCUGAGGCCAGGGGACCUCACUGGCCCCCUCCUCAGGCACCUUGAUGGGGCUCAGUGGGGCCAGGCCGAAGUGAGGAACCAGAAAAGCAUCAACAGGCUGGCACCAUCCAAGACCCUGCUGCACCCAAACAUGGAGGCCUCCACCAGCUCAGCCCCAGGAGUUCUUUCACACAUAAGCCCCUUCCCUAAGGAGUCCUGUGGAAUUUGACUGUAUGCUGCCCAAGUCAGAGAUUCACCACAGAUCUGUUCUGUCUCCUCAACCUGGACUCAAGUUACUGAGGUGAGAAACCUCACUGCCCAUGGUUAACUGAAGAAAUUCUCCUUCAGGGCCAGGCGCGGUGGCUCACGCCUGUAAUCCCAGCACUUUGGGAGGCCGAGGC
ensembl:lincRNA